GCACCACCACCUCUGUAUAAAAGGAAAAUCCAGAUUGUUCAGGAAAGUUCUAUCCACAAACAAAAACCCUAAUCUCAACCGCAGUCUAGUAUCAGAAACCAGUCACCAGAGCCAUGUCUCACUUUGGAAGAUCAGGUCCGCCGGAUAUCAAAGACACCUUUUCUUUACUCGUUCUCAACAUCACCUUCCGCACCACCGCGGAUGAUCUGUUUCCGUUUUUUGACAAAUACGGAAAGGUCGUCGAUAUCUUCAUUCCCAGAGAUCGAAGGACUGGUGAAUCGCGUGGUUUUGCAUUUGUUCGUUAUAAGUAUGCAGAUGAGGCACAAAAGGCAGUGGAUAGGCUAGACGGAAGGAUUGUUGAUGGUCGAGAAAUUACAGUUCAGUUUGCUAAAUAUGGGCCAAAUGCUGAGCGAAUCCACAAAGGAAGAAUUGUUGAAACAUUUCCAAAGUCUAGAGGCAGGUCAAGAAGUAAUAGUCCACGGCGAAGGUAUCGAGAUGAUAACAGAGACAGGGAUUACAGGAGGAGAAGUCGCAGCAGGAGCUAUGAUAGGUAUGAAAGUGACAGGUACCGUGGGAGGGAGAGAGACUAUCGACGUCGAAGCAGGAGCCACAGUGCAAGUCCUGAUUACCACAGAGGCCGGUAUGAUGAUGGACGACGGAAUCUGAGUAGGAGUCGGUCAAUUGAUAGUGUUUCCCCCACUCGGUAUACACCUAGUCCUAAGAGAAAUUUUCCUCCUCGUGUGACCCCAUCUCCUCCUAGGGGUGGUAGUCAGGACAGACGCAGUGGGGAAGAACGAUCCCCUAGUCGAAGUAUUUCACCAAGAGGUCGGCCUGCUGGUUCACGUAGCCCAUUCCUGCACAAGUCAGAUGCUGAUGACUGAUUGUGGUGAAGGGUGCAUGGUACUCAGAUGGUGCAUCGGUAAUAGUUCUAUGUCUGAUAUGUCUAGCUCGAAGGGGUUUGGAGCCUCAAAGACCUUCUCAUUAGAAUGAUGUUAGUUUUGGCAGGAAUGAAUUUCCAAUGUUGUUCUGUUCGUGAAAAGGCUGAUGGGCAUGUUGAUGAUGAUGAUGAUGAUGGUGAUGGUGAUGGUGAUGGUGAUGGUGAUGAUGCUGUUUGUAAUUCAUAGAUGGGUGAUCAUCAUUUUGUGCUCUGGUUGCGAACAGCAGUUUGCUGGUUGAAUAAACAGUAUCUUAACUAAGUUUCUCUAAAUGAUCGUGUCAUUGGCCAUUGGUGCUUUUGGAAAUAUUGGUCUUGAAAGGGGUAGUUGCUGUGAUGGUGUUAAAAGGUCGGUAUUCUGAAGGCGUGUUUUUACCUGUUGCUGUUGAUGCCAAUGAGGUGGGGUUCUGUUUUGUUCAAUGACCACCCUGAUGCUGAUUUUAACCAUGAAACCUAGUUUGCUGGUCUAUACUCUGCAACCACGAUGUUGAAGAGGGUAAAAUUUCUCUGAUUAUUUUUCUUUGGGCACAAAGGAUUGCAGCUGUAGCUGUGAAGUGAUAGCUGAUAUGCCCAUUCUGUCAUGUUGUAGAGUUGGGUGGGGUUCGGGUUAGUGAAUAUCCAUCUGCUGUAGUAGGCUUUUGCUACCCUUGUUGCUGGGAUCUCGGGUAUUGAUGGUGGCUGCCUGCCAAAUUCUGGUGGUGAAAUACCACCUUAUGCCCUUGAAUCUGAUUCUUGGUUGCAUGUUAUUUUUCCAGCUCAAAUGAAGUAUGCAUAUUCUCAUCUUCCCGUUCCAUCUUCAAUUUCUUUCUGGAGUUUGUUCUUCCUGUGUUGGAUUGUAACAGGCUAGAGUGCUUUGAGCUUGUGUGGAACUCUUUGUUAGCCGAACGGACAAAAUAGACAUAAUGCCUGUGCUUUUUAUACUUA